AUACGGAGGAUCCGAGCGUUAUCCGGAUUUAUUGGGUUUAAAGGGUGCGCAGGCGGCCAUUUAAGUCAGCGGUUAAAUCGUGGGGCUCAACCCCAUUCUGCCGUUGAUACUGGGUGGCUUGAUUGCGGUCGAGGUUGGCGGAAUUCGUUGUGUAGCGGUGAAAUGCAUAGAUCUGACGAAGAACACCGAUUGCGUAGGCAGCUGACCAGACCGCAAAUGACGCUCAUGCACGAAAGUGCGGGGAUCGAACAGGAUUAGAUACCCUGGUAGUCCGCACAGUAAACGAUGAAUACUUGUUUUCGGCGAUAUAAUGUCGGAGGCAAAGCGAAAGCGAUAAGUAUUCCACCUGGGGAGUACGCCGGCAACGGUGAAACUCAAAUGAAUUGACGGGG
rnacentral:rRNA from 1 species